GGGGAUUUGGCUCAGUGGUAGAGCGCUUGCCUAGCAAGCACAAUGUCCUGGGUUCAGUCCCCAGCUCCG
rnacentral:tRNA from 1 species